GACGAACGCUGGCGGCGUGCUUAACACAUGCAAGUCGAACGGAAAGGCCCUGCUUUUGUGGGGUGCUCGAGUGGCGAACGGGUGAGUAACACGUGAGUAACCUGCCCUUGACUUUGGGAUAACUUCAGGAAACUGGGGCUAAUACCGGAUAGGAGCUCCUGCUGCAUGGUGGGGGUUGGAAAGUUUCGGCGGUUGGGGAUGGACUCGCGGCUUAUCAGCUUGUUGGUGGGGUAGUGGCUUACCAAGGCUUUGACGGGUAGCCGGCCUGAGAGGGUGACCGGCCACAUUGGGACAGAGAAAGGGCCCAGACCCCUAGGGGAGGCAGGAGGGGGGAAUUGUGCACAAGGGGCGGAAGCGAGAUGGAGAAACCCCGGGGGGGGGAUGGCGGCCUUCGGUUGGUAAACCCUUUUCGCCUGGGACGAAGGGGGAGUGAGGGUAAGGGGAAAAGGAACACCGGCAAACUACGG
rnacentral:rRNA from 1 species